CGUCUCCUCCUCCCUAAAGCUGUGUAAGGCUACACUCACCCUCUUCAUGGCUUGGAGGAGAGACAAACAGCAAUAGCCAGAGGAUCAUUGUCGUGGUAAUCAAUAGCCUAAUUGUCAUGUUUUCCUGCCUCUGACACGC